AACGCACAUUGCGCUCUCUGGUAUUCCGGAGAGCAUGCCUGUUUGAGAAUCGAUAAAACCCUCACAUGUCCCUCCCUCUUUGGAACAGUCAAAGUUGGGAGGUGCGCCUCUGUGGAUCUGGAUCGUUUGUGGACCUCCGAGUCUACAAUGAUCUUAAAUGAAAUGUCUACAGCUCUUGUUGUCCUCAACAAAGCCCAGAGUGCAUGAAUGGAGUUUGAAAGAACUUGAUCCUCACGAUGGUGUUUUGUUCAAAGGCUCACUUGUUGUGUACCCAACCAUUACAUUGGUGGAUGCAUCCCUGUUGGUGUGUCUUCCAAAAACUUGGUCUCAAAUCAGGUAGGAAAACCCGCUGAACUUAA
rnacentral:misc_RNA from 1 species